AAAAGAGGAAGAAAAUGCUUUUUGCUUUUGGUCACAUGUCCUAAGAGUUCAGCAAUCAUCCUGAGGUUUUGGAGCUUCCCAAGAGAGAAGUUUCUUAGAGGAAAUCCGACUACAGGAAGAUGAGCAGCAGGAAUAUGUACCGAGAGCUUCUCGCAGGCUUGUUCUCUACUGCUUAUACCUUUCCACCUGUACCCAAUGACUUAAGAAGCUCUAAGAAUUUGGGAAUCUGAAGAGAUAUUUGCACCCCCAUGUUCACUGCAGCAUUAUUCAAUAGCCAAGCUCUAGAAACAACCUAAGUGUCUAACAGCGAAUGAAUGGAUAAAGAAAAUGUGGUCCCAGCUCCCUGCUCUGGCACCGGCUCUAAAUGCUCUUUUGCAGUCAUGACCAGCAGUUUGAGUUUACAGUGAACUACUUUGCUAAUUGGAGAAUAGAGCUGGAUCCCUACCUUAUACAACAUACAAAACUGGAAUUUAGAUGGAUGAGAUGUAAGUGGGAAAGGUAAAGCUAAAUGGACAGCAUCUAAUGUAAUCUAAGGAGGCAAAAAUUAAAAAAAAAUAGGAAUCUAAAAGCAAAAUCACAAAGCAAAAAAAAGUGAUGGCUUUUAUCAUAUUAUUAUUAAAAUGUUUUAGUCACAAAGAACAUCAUAGACAAUAUUAAGUGAUAGAUGACAGGUAGAAGCUAUUUAAGUCAUUAAAGCCAACAAGGGAUUAAUAUCUAGAAUAUACAAAAAUGACCACUAAUCAUGAAGAAAAAAACAAGAAACCCAACAGAAAACUGGAGAAAGGAUAUAAAUAAGCAGGUCACUGAAAGAAAAGUCCAAAUAGCUACUAAAUAUAUAGAAAGAUCCUCAAUAUUAGAAAUAUUUAGAAAUAUGUCAAUAAAAGACAAAGCAAUACCGCUUUAAUACCACCAGAACUGCAAAAAUUGUAAAAGUGAAUAAUACCAAGGGUUACUGAUAUUGUGAGCAAAUGGGCCCUCUUGUGUACUAUUCUUGAGAGUCUUAAUAUUACAGACUUCAGUAAGUGGCUUACUUUACAUAUAAAAGUUUUUCAAAAUAUUUUGUGAUUCUAUUCAUUAUAAUACAAUCAUGACUGUAAAUGUACCAAUUAAAAAAAUCCUCAUUUUAUUUUAUAUAUAUAUAAAAUAUAUAUCUCUCUCCAAGUUCUAUAAUGGAUGCUUGUUUUGUGAUUCUUAGAAUCUUACAAAUAGUGCUAGCAAUAUAUAUACAUAUAUGUCAUAUAUUUUUGUGUGCAUAUGGAAGUAUAUACAAAGCAAAGAAAACAAUCCAACUUAACUAUACUGUUUCUCUCCCCUCUCUGUGGCUGUGAGUGCUCUUGAGACAAGAACUAGAAGAUCCACACAAAGAUGGUGUGCUGAUGUUGGCCUAGAGUUAAGGUGAAAAGAAGGGAAUAACCUUUUAUUCAGCUCCACAGUGUACCAGGCAUCAAUCUGGGCACUUUAAGUUGUCUUAUUGAAUCUGCAUAAGUUAUGGGGAAUCAGUAUUAUGAUCCCAUUGUAUGGAUAAGGAAACAGGCUCUGAGAGGUUAAAUAAUUUGUCAAAGGACUCAGGACUGGAGCCCAGGUCUGUCUGGGCUGGUGCUCUUUUCACUACAUUACCACAAGUGACAGUGGGAACAGGUUGAAACUGGGAGAUGAAGCUGGAGAAACCUUGGGCAGCACACAUCAGAAAGUAGACUGACACAUCUGUUUAUUGUAGUUGUAUUUUUCCUGCUUUCCAGAAAUGUCACAUGCUGUUAACAGGUUUGAUCGCCUGAGAGAUGUAAACGCAAACUGUGGUGAAAUGAGUGGCUUUAAAGCAGAUUCUGUAUUCAUUCACAUUAAAACAGAGGUGAUCUGUAAACCUUGUUUUUUUCCCCACCAUGAUGACUCUCUUUUAACUAGGCUGAGACCCACAGACCUCCAAAGUGCAUCUCCAGUGGCAGAAUCUCAGCAAAGUUGAACUGGAAGGACCAUUCCUCCAAAAAUGUGCAUCACACAUGUGAGAGGAUUUUUUUCUAAUAGUAACUCGAGGUCUGGGGCUGACAAGAUGGGUUUAGAAAAUCUCUUGCCUCCUCAACAGUUCUGGCUCAUUUUCAGUGGGCUUUCUCUGCUCUCUUUGGCAGAGACGUAUGGGUUCAGUAAAUGCAUACAGUAUGAACUGGACAUUCACCAUAUGUUCUGCAUUUGGAAGAAGAUCAAUAACUUAACAGACGCCAUUCGUGACAUCCCUGGAUACACUACUCACCUCAACCUGACACAGAUCCAAAUUCAGGUCCUUCCUCCAUAUGGCUUCACUAAUUUGUCUGCUCUGGUGGACUUGUGAUUGGAGCGGAAUUCCAUUUGGAAGAUUGAUGAGAGGGCCUUUUGGGGACUUGAAAACAUGACCCUUUUGAAUUUAGUAGAAACUAAGAUUCAAAGUGUGAACAACUCCUUUGAAGGCCUGUCCAACUUGGAAACUUUGCUCCUGAGUCAUAAUCAAAUUACCCCUAUUCACAAAAAUGCCUUUGUCCCUUUUGUCAAAUUGAAAUAUUUAAACUUAUCUCAAAACUUUAUUACUGAUUUUUCUAAUAUUCUGGAAGCAAUCCAACAUCUUCUGCACCUAGAAUAUCUUGAUCUUACUAACAACAGCAUCAUGUCCUUGGAUCACAGCCCCAGGUCAUUGAUCUCCCUGACCCAGCUGAGCCUGCAAGGGAACAAGCUCAUGGAAUUAAAUUUCUCUGCUUUGUCACUACCUAAUCUGACCACUCUGGAUGUCUCUCAUAGCUUUGGAGUCAUUCAGAAUGUGGAUCUGGAAACUAUGCCCCAACUGAGAAGCUUGAAUCUGAGUGGAACAUUGGUGAAACUGGAGAUGCUCUCAGCCAACCACCUACAGAAUCUAAGGGAAAUAGACCUUAGUAACCAGAAGUUUGACGUAGUCACUUAAACCUCAACACACUAUGUCGUCUCCUCCAAAAUUUACCCAUAUUAGAGGCUUUGGUUUUUUGGAAAAAUGCCAUUGAUGCCAGGGGCAUACAGCGCCUUGCCAACUGUACCAGGCUUUUGUCCCUUGACCUGAGCCAUAACAAUGAUCUGGUUCACCUCAAUGACAGUGAAUUUGAUGCUAUGCCCAGCCUCCAAAGGCUGAAUCUAAACAAGUGUCAACUUUCCUUUGUCAUUAACAGGACCUUGAGUACCCUCCAGAACUUGAGAGCCCUAGAUCUGAGCCACAAUAAGUUUAAAAGCUUCCCAGAUUUUGCAUUUUCACCCCUGAGGUAUCUACAAUCUCUCUUUCUCUCUAGAAAUCCCAUCACAGAACUCGAUAGGAUGACCUUCUAUGGGCUGUAUUCAUUGAAGGAGUUCAACUUGGCUGGGUGCUGGAUAGUAAAAAUUGACAGAUACUUCUUUGCUCAAUUUCCAAAUUUAGAGAGUUUAGACCUUGGAUACAACAAUAUUCGGACUCUGAAUUGCAGAACCUUUGAGGGUCUGAAGAAACUCCAAGUUCUCACUCUCUCCCAGAACCGCCUGAAAAACAUAGCAAAAAAAUGCAUUUUCUGGCCUCAGUUGCCUCUAUAAACUUGACUUGAUAUACAAUGUCUUGUCAAAUUUUCAGGCAAUCCUUUUCUUGGGCCUGGAAAAUCUAGAAGUUUUGAAUCUCAGUUUUAAUAAAAUUACAUAUGAAACUACUAGGACCUUGCAAUCUCCUCCAUUUAUGAACCUCAAGUCUUUGAAACAACUCAACCUAGAAGGACAAAUACAUGGGAUUCAGGUUGUUCCAACCAACUUCUUCCAAGGGCUGAAUGGCCUGCAGGAGCUACUCCUAGGGAAAAAUCCCAUGGUAUUCCUAGACUACCGUCAAUUUGACUCACUGAUUAAUCUCACAAAAUUGGAUAUCUCAGGAAGAAAAUCUGGAGACCGAAGUCUCAGUUUAAGUAUUUCCUUAUUCCAAAACCUCAAAAGACUAAAAGUGCUAUGCCUGGAAAACAACAACUUAGAGUCCCUGACUCCUGGCAUGUUCUCUGGCUUAGAAAGCCUUCAGGUCCUCUCUUUAAGAUUCAACAACCUAAGAGUAAUUAAUCAAAGUCAUCUGGAGAAUCUGAAGUCUCUGAAGUACUUUGAUCUUUAUGGAAACAAACUUCAGUGCAGCUGUGACAAUGAAUGUUUCAAGAAUUGAUCCAUAAACACAGCAAAGGUCCAUAUCCCCUACCUCUGUAGCUACCCCUGUCAGCAGGGAAAUAUCCAGAGUUUAUUGAUAGAUUUCAAUGAUUCUAUGUGUAAUUUUGACCUGGGAAAGGUUUACUUCUUCUGUUCCUUCAGUCUGGUCCUCACAACCAUGGUCUCUUCUUGGUUUAUCGCCAAGAUGACUUCAUCGCUAUGGUAUAGGCUGUAUGUAUUUUGAGCCUGGUAUCAGGCCAAGUGGCAUAGGACAGAGAAGGAGUUCAUCUCUGAUGCCUUUGUCUCUUUCACUGCCACUGAUGAGCAGUGGGUAUAUGAAGAGCUUGUUCCAGCCCUGGAAGAAAGAGGUCAGCCUACCUUCAAGCUCUGUCUUCACCACCGGGAUUUUGAACCAGGCAUGGACAUCUUUGAGAACAUCCAGAAUGCCAUCAACACAAGCCAGAAAACAUUGUGUAUGGUCAGUAACCACUACCUGCACAGUGAAUGGUGCCAGCUUGAAGUACAGCUGGCCAGCAUCAAGAUGCUCUAUGAGCAUGAGGAUGUCCUCAUCUUGAUCUUCCUGGAAGAGAUCCCAAACUAUAAGUUAUCCAGCUACCGCCGACUCAGGAAACUUGUCAACAGGCAGACAUUUAUCACCUGGCCAGAGAAUGUCCAUGAGAGGCCACUCUUCUGGGCUCGUAUUAGAAAUGCAUUGGGAAACAAAUCUGUGGAGAAAGACAAUGCACAGCUAACUGUGGCUGAUUGACUGGAAGUCUUUGUGACAUCAAAUCCAGUGUUACCCAAGGUGUGGAAAGGCUAAGAGUGUGACUGAAUGUACCUGCUCUGCAGGCAAGAGGCUGCUCAUGACCAUUAUGUGGUUAAUGUCCAUCAGGCAACUGGAAGGGUGAAGAAGCUAUGCACUUGAUUCUCUAGUUUCAUACACAUCAUACUAAUAUGAUGUUUUCACAUAAUAUCUUUUUUUAACUUUUUUUAUUGAGUUAUAGUCAGUUUAUAAUGUUGUGUCAAUUUUUGGUGUACAGCAUAAUGUUUCAGUCAUACA